rnacentral:rRNA from 1 species
AGCUCACUGGUCGAGUCGGCCUGCGCGGAAGAUGUAACGGGGCUAAACUAUGCACCGAAGCUGCGGCAGCGACACUAUGUGUUGUUGGGUAGGGGAGCGUUCUGUAAGCCUGUGAAGGUGUGUCGUGAGGCAUGCUGGAGGUAUCAGAAGUGCGAAUGCUGACAUAAGUAACGAUAAAGCGGGUGAAAAGCCCGCUCGCCGGAAGACCAAGGGUUCCUGUCCAACGUUAAUCGGGGCAGGGUGAGUCGACCCCUAAGGCGAGGCCGAAAGGCGUAGUCGAUGGGAAACGGGUUAAUAUUCCCGUACUUGGUGUUACUGCGAAGGGGGGACGGAGAAGGCUAUGUUGGCCGGGCGACGGUUGUCCCGGUUUAAGCGUGUAGGUGUGUGUUCCAGGUAAAUCCGGUUCACUUUAACACUGAGGCGUGAUGACGAGGCACUACGGUGCUGAAGCAACAAAUGCCCUGCUUCCAGGAAAAGCCUCUAAGCAUCAGGUAACAUCAAAUCGUACCCCAAACCGACACAGGUGGUCAGGUAGAGAAUACCAAGGCGCUUGAGAGAACUCGGGUGAAGGAACUAGGCAAAAUGGUGCCGUAACUUCGGGAGAAGGCACGCUGACACGUAGGUGAAGUGAUUUACUCAUGGAGCUGAAGUCAGUCGAAGAUACCAGCUGGCUGCAACUGUUUAUUAAAAACACAGCACUGUGCAAACACGAAAGUGGACGUAUACGGUGUGACGCCUGCCCGGUGCCGGAAGGUUAAUUGAUGGGGUCAGCGCAAGCGAAGCUCCUGAUCGAAGCCCCGGUAAACGGCGGCCGUAACUAUAACGGUCCUAAGGUAGCGAAAUUCCUUGUCGGGUAAGUUCCGACCUGCACGAAUGGCGUAAUGAUGGCCAGGCUGUCUCCACCCGAGACUCAGUGAAAUUGAACUCGCUGUGAAGAUGCAGUGUACCCGCGGCAAGACGGAAAGACCCCGUGAACCUUUACUAUAGCUUGACACUGAACAUUGAGCCUUGAUGUGUAG